rnacentral:rRNA from 1 species
CCUACGGGGAGCAGCAGUGAGGGAUAUUGGUCAAUGGGGGAAACCCUGAACCAGCAACGCCGCGUGAGGGAAGACGGUUUUCGGAUUGUAAACCUCUGUCCUCUGUGAAGAUAAUGACGGUAGCAGAGGAGGAAGCUCCGGCUAACUACGUGCCAGCAGCCGCGGUAAUACGUAGGGAGCAAGCGUUGUCCGGAUUUACUGGGUGUAAAGGGCGUGCAGCCGGGCCGACAAGUCAGAUGUGAAAUCCGCGGGCUUAACCCGCGAACUGCAUUUGAAACUAUUGGUCUUGAGUACCGGAGAGGUCAUCGGAAUUCCUUGUGUAGCGGUGAAAUGCGUAGAUAUAAGGAAGAACACCAGUGGCGAAGGCGGAUGACUGGACGGCAACUGACGGUGAGGCGCGAAAGCGUGGGGAGCAAACAGGAUUAGAUACCCGGGUAGUC